rnacentral:rRNA from 1 species
GGGAUAACCUGGGGAAACUCGGGCUAAUACCGCAUAAUCUCUUUGGAGCAAAGCGGGGGAUCUUCGGACCUCGUGCUAUAAGAUGAGCCUACGUCGGAUUAGCUUGUUGGUGGGGUAAUGGCCUACCAAGGCGACGAUCCGUAGCUGGUCUGAGAGGACGAUCAGCCACACUGGGACUGAGACACGGCCCAGACUCCUACGGGAGGCAGCAGUGGGGAAUAUUGGACAAUGGGGGAAACCCUGAUCCAGCAAUGCCGCGUGUGUGAAGAAGGCCUUCGGGUUGUAAAGCACUUUCGGUGGGGAAGAAAUUCUCAAGGGUAAUAUCCUUGGGCGUUGACGUUACCCACAGAAGAAGCACUGGCUAACUCUGUGCCAGCAGCCGCGGUAAUACAGAGAGUGCAAGCGUUAAUCGGAAUCACUGGGCGUAAAGCGCGCGUAGGUGGAUAUUUAAGUCGGAUGUGAAAGCCCUGGGCUUAACCUGGGAAUUGCACCCGAUACUGGGUAUCUUGAGUAUGGUAGAGGGAAGUGGAAUUUCCGGUGUAGCGGUGAAAUGCGUAGAUAUCGGAAAGAACACCAGUGGCGAAGGCGACUUCCUGGACCAAUACUGACACUGAGGCGCGAAAGCGUGGGGAGCAAACAGGAUUCACUUCUUAGUAGCGAAGCUAACGCGUUAAGUUCUCCGCCUGGGGAGUACGGCCGCAAGGUUAAAACUCAAAGAAAUUGACGGGGGCCCGCACAAGCGGUGGAGCAUGUGGUUUAAUUCGAUGCAACGCGAAAAACCUUACCUACCCUUGACAUCCUCGGAACUUGUCAGAGAUGAUUUGGUGCCUUCGGGAACCGAGUGACAGGUGCUGCAUGGCUGUCGUCAGCUCGUGUCGUGAGAUGUUGGGUUAAGUCCCGUAACGAGCGCAACCCUCGUCCUUAGUUGCCAGCGAGUCAAGUCGGGAACUCUAAGGAGACUGCCGGUGAUAAACCGGAGGAAGGUGGGGAUGAUGUCAAGUCAUCAUGGCCCUUACGGGUAGGGCUACACACGUGCUACAAUGGGCAGUACAAAGGGUUGCCAAGCCGCGAGGUGGAGCUAAUCCCAGAAAACUGCUCGUAGUCCGGAUUGGAGUCUGCAACUCGACUCCAUGAAGUUGGAAUCGCUAGUAAUCGCGAAUCAGCAUGUCGCGGUGAAUACGUUCUC